rnacentral:rRNA from 1 species
CCUGGUUGAUUCUGCCAGUAGUCAUAUGCUUGUCUCAAAGAUUAAGCCAUGCAUGUCUAAGUAUAAGCAAUUAUACGGCGAAACUGCGAAUGGCUCAUUAUAUAAGUUAUCGUUUAUUUGAUAGUACCUUACUACUUGGAUAACCGUGGUAAUUCUAGAGCUAAUACAUGCUAAAAAUCCCGACUUCGGAAGGGAUGUAUUUAUUAGAUUAAAAACCAAUGCCCUUCGGGGCUCCUUGGUGAUUCAUGAUAACUGCUCGAAUCGCAUGGCCUUGUGCCGGCGAUGGCUCAUUCAAAUUUCUUCCCUAUCAACUUUCGAUGUUUGGGUAUUGGCCAAACAUGGUUGCAACGGGUAACGGAGGGUUAGGGCUCGACCCCGGAGAAGGAGCCUGAGAAACGGCUACUACAUCCAAGGAAGGCAGCAGGCGCGCAAAUUACCCAAUCCCGACACGGGGAGGUAGUGACAAUAAAUACUGAUACAGGGCUCUUUUGGGUCUUGUAAUUGGAAUGAGUACAAUUUAAAUCCCUUAACGAGGAACAAUUGGAGGGCAAGUCUGGUGCCAGCAGCCGCGGUAAUUCCAGCUCCAAUAGCGUAUAUUAAAGUUGUUGUGGUUAAAAAGCUCGUAGUUGAACCUUGGGCCUGGCUGGCCGGUCCGCCUCACCGCGUGUACUGGUCCGGCCGGGCCUUUCCCUCUGUGGAACCCCAUGCCCUUCACUGGGUGUGGCGGGGAAACAGGACUUUUACUUUGAAAAAAUUAGAGUGCUCCAGGCAGGCCUAUGCUCGAAUACAUUAGCAUGGAAUAAUAGAAUAGGACGUGUGGUUCUAUUUUGUUGGUUUCUAGGACCGCCGUAAUGAUUAAUAGGGACAGUCGGGGGCAUCAGUAUUCAAUUGUCAGAGGUGAAAUUCUUGGAUUUAUUGAAGACUAACUACUGCGAAAGCAUUUGCCAAGGAUGUUUUCAUUAAUCAGGAACGAAAGUUAGGGGAUCGAAGACGAUCAGAUACCGUCGUAGUCUUAACCAUAAACUAUGCCGACUAGGGAUCGGACGAUGUUAUUUUUUGACUCGUUCGGCACCUUACGAGAAAUCAAAGUGCUUGGGCUCCAGGGGGAGUAUGGUCGCAAGGCUGAAACUUAAAGAAAUUGACGGAAGGGCACCACCAGGGGUAAACGUAACUCGUUUUUUCGAAGCCACAGUUAACUCUGCUCCUAAAAGCCGCCCGAAAGGGUCAAUGGUGUACCUAGGCCUCGCGCCGAAAUUAAUGGCUAGUCUCUCCGGAGGCAACACCCUCAACUUGCGGGGAACCCCUAAAGCUUCUGCUCCAAAGCCGACGUUCGAAAGCCGUCGGUGGCCAGGUUAAUAGCCUCGGGUACUGGAAAAACGCAGAAGAUGUCACAAUGGGCAAUCCGCAGCCAAGCCCCUAAGUGCGCCGCGAGGCGCAUACGGGGAAGGUUCAGAGACUUGACGGGGGUGGGUGGGGGUUCUGCAUCGCCCGCGGGCGGUCCCUGCUUAAGAUAAAGUCCGUCCUUUCGCGAAAGCGUCAGCGGUCUCUUUGCAGCAAUGCAAUGGGGCUUCCAACCGGGAGCCUGCGGCUUAAUUUGACUCAACACGGGGAAACUCACCAGGUCCAGACACAAUGAGGAUUGACAGAUUGAGAGCUCUUUCUUGAUUUUGUGGGUGGUGGUGCAUGGCCGUUCUUAGUUGGUGGAGUGAUUUGUCUGCUUAAUUGCGAUAA